rnacentral:rRNA from 1 species
GGACUACCAGGGUUUCUAAUCCUGUUUGAUCCCCAUGCUUUCGUGCAUGAGCGUCGAUAAAGCGCCAGUUCGCUGCCUUCGCCACUGGUGUUCUUCCGAAUAUCUACACAUUUCACUGCUACACUCGGAAUUCCACGAACCUCUCGCUUAUCCAAGACCCACAGUAUCAAAAGACGUUUCGGCGUUGAGCGCCGAGAUUUCACUCCUGACUUAUGAGUCCGCCUGCGCACCCUUUACACCCAGUAAAUCCGGACAACGCUUGGAUCCUACGUAUUACCGCGGCGGCUGGCAC